UACGGGGGGGGUAAGCGUUGUUCGGAAUUACUGGGCGUAAAGGGCUCGUAGGCGGCCAACUAAGUCAGACGUGAAAUCCCUCAGCUUAACUGGGGAACUGCGUCUGAUACUGGAUGGCUUGGAUUCGGGAGAGGAAUGUGGAAUUCCAGGUGUAGCGGUGAAAUGCGUAGAUAUCUGGAGGAACACCGGUGGCGAAGGCGGCAUUCUGGACCGAUAUUGACGCUGAGGAGCGAAAGCCAGGGGAGCAAACGGG
rnacentral:rRNA from 1 species